rnacentral:rRNA from 1 species
AGUGAACGCUGGCGGCAGGCCUAACACAUGCAAGUCGAACGGCAGCACAGUAAGAGCUUGCUCUUACGGGUGGCGAGUGGCGGACGGGUGAGGAAUACAUCGGAAUCUACUUUUUCGUGGGGGAUAACGUAGGGAAACUUACGCUAAUACCGCAUACGACCUACGGGUGAAAGCAGGGGAUCUUCGGACCUUGCGCGAUUGAAUGAGCCGAUGUCGGUUUAGCUAGUUGGCGGGGUAAAGGCCCACCAAGGCGACGAUCCGUAGCUGGUCUGAGAGGAUGAUCAGCCACACUGGAACUGAGACACGGUCCAGACUCCUACGGGAGGCAACAGUGGGGAAUAUUGGACAAUGGGCGCAAGCCUGAUCCAGCCAUACCGCGUGGGUGAAGAAGGCCUUCGGGUUGUAAAGCCCUUUUGUUGGGAAAGAAAAGCAGCAGGUUAAUACCCCGCUGUUCUGACGGUACCCAAAGAAUAAGCACCGGCUAACUUCGUG